AGAAUACUAAUUGGGUUAAACCAGUUAGUUCUUAUUAAUUAUAACGAUUAUCAAUUAACAAUCAAUUCAGAACUGGCACGGACUUGGGGAAUCCGACUGUCUAAUUAAAACAAAGCAUUGUGAUGGCCCUAGCGGGUGUUGACACAAUGUGAUUUCUGCCCAGUGCUCUGAAUGUCAAAGUGAAGAAAUUCAAGUAAGCGCGGGUCAACGGCGGGAGUAACUAUGACUCUCUUAAACGCGGCCGCGUUCGCAGAUGAUAUUGUCUUAUUUGCGGAAACUCGUUUAGGCCUUCAAACAAUGCUAGACACGACUGUCGAUUUUCUAUCUU
rnacentral:ncRNA from 1 species